CCACCCGAGCAUGCUCACUCCUCCUUGAGUCACAGGGUGGCGGUCCCCUCCACCCCACCCCGGACCUCUGGGUUCCGGCAAAGCUUGAGUUCUCAACCACCACAUCCUCCCCUUCCCCUCCCAGGGCGCGCUCCUCGGCACCCACUGGAGCACUCAGCAGCCGCGCCUCCCCUCCCCACCCCGCCUCCUCCUCCUCUCCCUCCACUCCUGGCUGUGGCCGGAGAGGACACGUCAGGGAGCAUAAAUAAAUAAAUAAUUCCAUUCACCCAGCGGCAGCGAGGCAAAUCGGCUACGGCUAGGAAGGAACGGAGGGCUGCAGGGCCCACCCGGUGCCGGAGACCAGCUCUAGUGAAGAUAGCCUUCUAUACAUCACAUGAUAUGGGCUGAGCAGAUCAGAAGUGCUGGGCACUGAGGUUGUAUGAUAUUGUUAACUCUGAGCUGGUGGCUAUAAAGACAUGUGCAAAUGGAUGCAGCUGCCAGGCUAAGGGAAGAGUGAAGCAUAUGCUCAAAACCAGCAAUUAUUAUGAUGUUUUUACAAUGAUUUGCAUUUAUUGAGUGCCCAUUGUCUCAGGCAGUAUUCUGAACACUUUACAUGUAUACAUGUGUUAUCUUGUUUAAUCCACAUACAUAAGAUAGGUACCAUUAUUUCUAGCUUACAAAAAUGAGAACUAAGGCUCUGAGAUAUUAAGUAACUCACCCAAGUUCACAAAGUUAAUAAAUAAUAAUACCUGAAAGUAGACACCCAGAUUCCACCUUGUAACACUUAAAUAAUACUCAGCAUCUGAAGUAUUCAGGACCCUACAGAGACAGGGAAGCUGCCUAACACCUUAGUUCUGCAGUUAAGUUCUAUGUUGAUACGUUGAUACUGAUUUUUUUCUCCCCCUUUCUUUAAGCUAUGUUGAGUGGAUUUUGAUUUUUUCCAACUAUAGACCUCUACUUAUGAAAAAGUUUUCAUUACUCAUGUUAUGGAUUAAUUGUUGGGAUUUCAUGUGCAAAGCAAAACAGAUCAACUUGGAAAUAUCUACAUAUAAACCCUUUUCUCUGAAAAAGUACAAAUAAUUCAUCUUGAAUUUGUAAUGAGCUAUGUUUAUGAACUACUGUAUAUGAAGACAGCACAACAUGGUCUGCAUGAGAUAAUAUUAAGGAGGCACACAUCAGCCAAAUGGUUCUGCCUGUGUGUGUAGAACACAGUUUUUGCCAUGUGAUGCUCACAAAAUUAUGACAUUUUUCUUGACAUUUUAUUAGCCUGGAAACUCAAUGACUAAGGCCCUUCUAA